AUAUAAGUACAAACAGACAGUGAGAAGAUAACGAGACUGAGUA
rnacentral:misc_RNA from 1 species